AAACACAGCUGGAGACAGCCUGUCAGCAACCAAGACCCCUUCCGCUUUUUCUCUUCCUCCAGUUUUGUUUGCAGUCUCUCUCUUUCCCUCUCUCUCAUCCUACUUCGUCUUCUUUCUUCUCGUUCUUCUUCACGGAUUAGGGCUUUCGAUCUUCUUUUGCAGCUUUUAGAAUCAUCAUUGGAGUUCAGCGAAUCGAGAUUCAUCUAUCGGAGAGCUCUGGUUUCAUCUUUUUUUCGGUUCGAUUUGGUACUGACGUACUGUUUUGGUCUAAAAAUGCUUGAAAUCAGGGUUUUUCAUCUCUAGGGAAAGAGGGUCAGUUUUUGAGACCGAAAUGCUGGCCACUGGCGAGGUCUCCUCACAGGUGGUCUAAAAUGGAUGGUUGACCUUGAACCCAUGAGUGGAAUUCUUCAGACUC